AACAAAUUACGAGAAAUAUUCAGUACCUGUGGAAAGAUAAUUUCAGCAAAAGUGAUGCGGCAUGAUAAUGGGGUAAGUAGAAGCUUUGGAUUUGUGUGUUUUUCAAGUCCUGAAGAAGCAAAGAAAGCUCCGAACACUAUGAAUGGAAUCAUGCUCGAGGGGAAGUCUCUCUAUGUGGCAAUAGCUCACUGUAAAAAAUAUCGCCACCCGGAACUGGAGAAGUAUUUUGCUGCAUGCCGAUCUCUGUCAUUAUAUCCUUCUAACUGCAAUGUCAUUGCACCUUCAAUUGGUCCAGUUUAUUACAAUUUGUCUACUUUCCAUCUACCAAUCCCUUUCCUGCAGAAUCCAGUCUCAUUCCAAAAUUUUGGUGCAAAUAUGGGAGUGCAGUAUCCUUUGGGAGCUGAGAAUUACCAGCAACAGUUUUGCUC
rnacentral:misc_RNA from 1 species